rnacentral:rRNA from 1 species
AGUGAACGCUGGCGGUAGGCCUAACACAUGCAAGUCGAACGGCAGCACAGUAAGAGCUUGCUCUUACGGGUGGCGAGUGGCGGACGGGUGAGGAAUACAUCGGAAUCUACUUUUUCGUGGGGGAUAACGUAGGGAAACUUACGCUAAUACCGCAUACGACCUACGGGUGAAAGCAGUGGAUCUUCGGACCUUGCGCGAUUGAAUGAGCCGAUGUCGGAUUAGCUAGUUGGCGAGGUAAAGGCCCACCAAGGCGACGAUGCGUAGCUGGUCUGAGAGGGUGAUCGGCCACACUGGAACUGAGACACGGUCCAGACUCCUACGGGAGGCAGCAGUAGGGAAUCUUCCGAAAUGGGCGAAAGCCUGACGGAGCAACGCCGAGUGAGUGAUGAAGGUCUUCGGAUCGUAAAACUCUGUUAUUAGGGAAGAAAAAAUGUGUAAGUAACUAUGCACGUCUUGACGGUAGCUAAUCAGAAAGCCACGGCUAACUACGUG